rnacentral:tRNA from 1 species
GGGCGAUUAGCUCAGCUGGUUCAGAGCACCUGCCUUACAAGCAGGGGGUCACUGGUUCGAAUCCAGUAUCGCCCAC